AUUGAACGCUGGCGGAAUGCUUUACACAUGCAAGUCGAACGGUAGAGGGGGCAACCCCUCGAGAGUGGCGAACGGGUGAGUAAUAUAUCGGAACGUGCCCAGUCGUGGGGGAUAACGUAGCGAAAGUUACGCUAAUACCGCAUACGAUCUAAGGAUGAAAGCGGGGGAUCGCAAGACCUCGCGCGAUUGGAGCGGCCGAUAUCAGAUUAGGUAGUUGGUGGGGUAAAGGCUCACCAAGCCAACGAUCUGUAGCUGGUCUGAGAGGACGACCAGCCAACCUGGAACGGGGACGCGGUCCAGACUCCUACGGGAGGCAGCAGUGGGGAAUUUUGGAAAAUGGACGCAAGUCUGAUCCAGCCAUUCCGCGUGCAGGAUGAAGGCCCUCGGGUUGUAAACUGCUUUUGUACGGAACGAAAAGGUCUCUCUUAAUACGGGGGGCUCAUGACGGUACUGUAAGAAUAAGCAUCGGCUAACUACGUGCCAGCAGCCGCCGUAA
rnacentral:rRNA from 1 species